GCGGCUUCCUGUGGGCAGCGGUGCAGACGCGUCGGAUCAGCUGGGCUGUGCCCAGGACCUCACCGGCUCAGCGUUACACCUGCUGCCUCUCAGCUUGGACGUGUGCACUAUCCUGUAGUGUCAUCAUGAGUGAUGGUUACGUACUAGUUCACUGGGAAACGCAGACUAGGGUAUCCUUUGAGAAAGUUCUGGGUUUGAGUGGCUUUGAGAAGAAAAUCUCCAGCAGGGGAUGAAAGCACCUAAUUGAAGAACGGAGUCCGUGGUCCAUGCAGCGCCUGAGGCACCUUGAGGCAUCAGGAGAAGCGCUCUGCGCAGACUCCUCGCAGGUGCCCCCGUGUCCCUCUGUGGCUCUCUGCAUCGUGCUGUCCUCAGCCUCCGAGUGCCUGCAGGAUGUCCGUGAAGCUGAGCCCUGACCCAGGUGGAGUCAGGAGGCACCCCCAGCUGCACUGGCCGCCUCCACCAGGGGCUCUCUUACUGCACAGCAUGUCCAUAACUCUGUGAUUGGUGUCACAGGCCAGCUGAGAGCUGGUGCUGUCACCUGUUAACAGCCUCUGUGAAGUCUGGGGAGCAGGCAGGCCUGGUGGCCAAUGGCAGGUGUGGUCCCCGGUGAAAUGAUGGUGUCCUGUCAGCCGAAUGCUGAGCCCACACUCCAACUUGAGAACUGUCCCCGAGGCCCCUGCUGCCCAGCUCCCCUCAGGCUGCUUCCUGGAAGGGGAGAGUGCGCAGCGGAAGAACGCUGUUCCCGUCGUGCAUGCUCAGGAGGCCCACAAAGAGAAGGGCAUCGCAGACAGAAGACCAAAUCGGAAUCCCAGGUUAUGUUUCAUAUCAGCGUGAGCAUCUUAUUCUUGAAGACUUUGGAACCGAUGAAACAAUCAUAGGUGUUGCCCUGGGACUUCUGCGCUUCUGUUUCCAGGUUGCUCGCAUCAUCGGUACACGGCUUUGCUGUGUCCCUUGUCCGUGAGCCAGCCUGCUAGUUCCUCCUCUGAUCUCAGCCUGGUGACGCUUGCCGGCUCUUGGCCAUAAGUGACUUCCUGAUAGAAAAGGACCCUCAGGCUUCAGUAUCCAGCGGAGUUGGCAGCUCUGUCAGAAACGGAACUGAGGUCACUUUGAGACUACCUGCAUUCUCUUCCUGGAAGGACACCCGGCAAUAGAUGUGAAACAAAACAAGAAGCAGCCUGCAGGACAGGAAGUCGCUGCACCAAAAUGGUUUUCGCCUGCAGGAUGUGCUCUUCCUCUCACAUGUCAAUUUUGGGAAAUAGAUUGAUUCAUUUUAUAACUUUGGAAGAUACUUAUUCUUUGUUACAAGAAACAACUACUUUAUUAUAGGAACAAAAUAAUAGUAUUUGAUAACAGUUCAUUUGUCAUGUACCCUUGGAGUUUCUCUCGAUAACCAGCAUAGCUGUGUUUCCCACAGAAUUCACAUUUGUCAUUAAGAGGCUGGAACUCCGUCUACACACCAUCUGAAUUGUGACCUGGGGGCGUGUUUGCCUGGCCUCAUGCUGGCCGCAUCCCUGUUUCCUUUCCAGAUCGCUCGUGUUAGUCUGAUUACUGGGCUGUGUGCAUGGACAGACAGCGCAUACUGACUAUGUUUGGUGUUACUUUUCAGAACCUGAGCUACAGAGCUUGAGUUGGCUAAUUGAUAAGCUGUGUUUUAUAUUACAUUCCUUGUACCUUCCUGGAAAGGAAUUUGACCUUUGCAAAAACUAUGAUAAGUGAUCAUUAAAGAGGUGUUUGUAAAAUAAAUUGAAUAUCACUUCCUAAUAAGUGUUAAUCACAACACAGUGUGUCAGAAUUUAUGGAAUGCAGCUAAACAGUGCUUGGAGGGAAAUUAAUAGCGGUAAAUACCUCUGUUCAGAAGAUCUCAAAUCAAAAGUGUAAGCUUCCACCUUAGAAAUCUAGAAGAAGAAGAGCAAAAUAAAUCCAAAGCAAACCAAAGGAAAGAAAGAAUAAAGGUUAGUAUGGAAGUAAGUGAAAUAGGAACCAAAAGUGAAGAAAAAUCAAUAGUUGGAUUUGAAAAGAUCAAGUUUGGCAAACUUUUAGCUACACUGACCAAGAAAGAAAGAGAAGAUACAAACUUCCAAUAUCAGGAUGAGAGGAGACAUUAUUACCAACCUUACAGAAAUUAAAGGAAUUGUAAGGAAAUACUAUGAGCAACUUUAUGCCAACACAUUGGACAAUUCAGGUGAAAUGGACACAUCGUAGAAACACAGAAAUUACCAAAACUUAGUCAAAGACAAAUGCGUUUUUUAUUUUUGAGGAAGAUUAGCCCUGAAUUAACAUCAGCUGCCACUCUUCCUCUUUUCUUUUUUUUUUGCUCAGGAAGACUGGCCCUGAGCUAACAUCCGUGUCCAUCUUCUGCUUCUUUUUAAAUUGGGGCACCUACUACAGCAUGCCUUGACGAGCGGUGCGUAGGUCUGCACCCGGGAUCUGAACCCACAAACCCCAGGCCACUGAAGUGCAAUGUGCAAACUUAACUGCUGCGCCACUGGGCCGGCCUCUGCAAAAUUUUAAUAGGCCUGUAACAAAGAAAUUGGACUAGAAACUAGACUCUUCCUAGAGAAUAAAGCCCAGGGUCAGAUGGCUUCACUGGUGAAUGGUACCAAAUAUUUAAAGAAGAAAUAAUACCAGUUUUUCCCAGACUCUGGAAAUAAAGGAGGAGGGAAUACUUAGCAGCUGUGCACUGUGGUGCCCGUUACCCUGCUACCAGAGCCAGACAAACAGAAGGAUGCUGCAGAUCAGUAUACCUCAUGAAUGCCCAAACAGAAAUCUGCAACAGGGGCUGGCCCCAUGGCGUAGUGGUUAAAAAUGUGACAUGCUCUGUUUCAGUCGCCUGGGGUUUGUGGGUUUGGAUUCUGGGUGUGGACCUACACCAUUUGUCAGCAGCCAUGCUGUGGCAGCGACCCACAUAGAAAAUAGAGGAAGACUGGCACAGAUCUUAGCUCAAGGCCAAUCUUCCUCACCAAAAAAAAUAUAUAUAUAUAUAUUUUGGAGAACUUACACUCCCAGAUUUCAGAACUUACUAUAAAUCUACACUAAUCAAGAUAGCAUGAUACUGGUAUAAGGAUGUGUCUAGAUUGAUCGAUCAAUUGGUCUAUCUCAGUGGAACAGUUGAGUCCUGAAGUUAACCGUUACAUUCAUGGUCACUUGCUUUUCUUCAUAGGUACCAAGACAGUUCAGUGGAGAGAAGAUUGCCCUUUUAACAAAUGAGGCUGGAAGAAUUGGAUAUCCACAUGCAAUAAGAUGAAUUUAGACCCUUCAUUAUAUACAAAAAUUAACUCAAAAUGGAUCAUACACCAGAAUGUAAGAGCUAAAACUAUGAAACUUAGAAGAAAAAAAUCAUAGACAAGAAUCUUCAGGACCCUGGGAUUGGCAAACAUUUCUUAUAUAUGAUGCUAAAAGCACAAUCAUAGAAGAGAAAGUUGAUAAGUUAGACUUCAUCAAAAUUAAAAGUCUGUGUCAUAAGCCACUUCAAGGAAAUGAGAAAACUGGCCACAGACUGGAGAAAAUAUUUGCAAAUCAUACUGAUAAAGGAUUGGUAUCCAGAGUAUAUAAAGAAUGCUUUAACAAGCAGACGACUCAUGUAAAAAAUGUGCAAAGGAUUUGAAUAGACAUUUCUCUAAAGAAGAUAGACAAGUGGCCAAUUGACACAUGAAAAGUUGCUCCACAUCCUCUGGAAGUUAAUAAAGGGAAACAUCACUUAAAGUGGAGUCGGGAGGCCGGAAGGGGGAGCUCCCACUCAGUACCACUCAAGGUUAGUUACAGGAAAGACGGUCAGUUACAGGUCACAACAGAAAGAAGUGUCCAUUACAGGAAGAAAUGUCUGGUGCAUCCCAAACAGAAAUCGACAACCCCAGCAACUCAGCCAACGAGAAGCCGCCGUUACCCUGAACUCUCGCUUUCCUCCAAUGGACUUUGAUGUGAAAGCGCUGCUCCCAGCUUCCUCCUUUUUCUCUAUAAAAUAACGUUCCUCUCCCUUGUUGGGUUUGCCUGUGGUCCAUCACAGCGUACACAUCCUCAAUUACAAUUCUUUGGCUAUUCCUGAAUAAACUUGUUUUGCUGGUAAAAUAACUGUUUUAUUUGUAAGGUUGACAAUCCUUAGUCAUUAGGGAAAUGAAAAUUAAAAUUGAGAUGCCACUUCCCACCCCCUAGAAGGACUGGGAGCCAAGGAGGGGCGAUGACGGACGUUGGUGAGGAUGUGAAGAGCUGGAGCUGCCCCUUUGGGUAACAGUGUAGCAGUUUCUUAAAAGGUUGAAGUAUAAACUUGCCGUGUGACCCAGGUUCCUAAGAAUAAACACGGAAGAAUUGAAAAGAUAGGUCUGCAGAAAACUUGUAAACUGGUGCUUGUCCCAUUAUUCACAAUAGCCCCAGCGCCCGUCAGCCGGUGAGUGGAUGAACACACCGUGGUAUGUGCACACACUGCAACACUGCAGAGGGCGCAAGGCCUGAGCUGGUCCACGCUCCAAGAGAGCCUCAGAGACACGCAACGUGCAAGGUGCCGGAUGGAAGAGACCACGCGCUGUGUGACCCCGUUGAUGUGAGAAGUCCUGAGAGGCAGGCCAGGGAGAGAAAGUUCAUUACUGGUUUUGGGGGUGGGGGGCUGGGGCUGGGAAUGGAGACCAGCUGCCGGUGGACACUUGGGGUCUUUCUGAGUGAGGUAAAUGGUCAAAAUUAGAUGAUGGUGAUGGUGGUACAACUCUGAACUUAGUAAAACGAAUGCUUCUCUUAAAAUCGGUUUUCCGAUAGUAGGUAAGUAUACCCCAGGAGAGCUGUUAGCAGCCCCCUGAGGUGAGACCGGAACUCUCGAGGAAGACAGGUGGGACAGGGUUUCUGGUUCUGGAUUUGGGCUGGGCCCCAAGAGUCUGUUUCCGACAGCCCCCUGGGCGGGUGGGGGCCGUGGCCUGCACUGCCAGGUAGUGUGUUUACGUCCCCUGGGAGGAGGCGGGUGGCUGGGGCUUGUGACCUCCACCAGCGGGUCCGUCCUUGUGCUGUGG
ensembl:lncRNA